AGUCGGCCCUGCCCGGUGGUGUCGUGCUUAACGGUCGCAAUGAAUAGUUGUGCUAAGGUAGCGCAGUCAAUUGUCCUUUAAUUGGGGAAAGGAAUGAAAGGGUUGACGAGGGGGAGGCUGUCUUUGUAAUAUAAUUUGAAAUUUUCUUUUACGUGAAAAGACUUAAAUUUUAAAAUAAGAAGAGAAGACCCCGGCGAGCUUGUUAAGGGUUGUUAAAUGAAAAUGACCAUUGAGGUUUGUUGGGGCAACGCAAAGGGAAGAAAACUCCUUUGAACGUGAUAAGGAUCCACUAAGAGUGAAUAAAGCAAAAGCUACCGCGGGGAUAACAGCGCAAUUUUCUUAGAGAGUUCAUAUCGAAGAGAAAGUUUGCGACCUCGAUGUUGGAUUAAGAUUUCCUUUUGGUGCAGGAGUUAAAAAGGUGGGACUGUUCGUCCUUUAAAAUUUU
rnacentral:rRNA from 1 species